rnacentral:rRNA from 1 species
UACGAAGGGGGCUAGCGUUGUUCGGAAUCACUGGGCGUAAAGGGCACGUAGGCGGCUUGAUAAGUCGGGGGUGAAAGCCUGUGGCUCAACCACAGAAUUGCCUUCGAUACUGUCGAGCUUGAGACCGGAAGAGGUAAGUGGAACUGCGAGUGUAGAGGUGAAAUUCGUAGAUAUUCGCAAGAACACCAGUGGCGAAGGCGGCUUACUGGUCCGGUUCUGGACGCUGAGGCGCGAAAGCGUGGGGAGCAAACAGG